rnacentral:rRNA from 1 species
CGGGGCCCGCACAAGCAGCGGAGCAUGUGGUUAAUUCGAAGCAACGCGAAGACCUUACCUAGACUUGACAUCUCCUGAAUUACCCGUAACUGGGGAAGCUCUUCGGAGCAGGAAGACAGGUGGUGCAUGGUUGUCGUCAGCUCGUGUCGUGAGAUGUUGGGUUAAGUCCCGCAACGAGCGCAACCCUUAUCGUUAGUUGCUACCAUUAAGUUGAGCACUCUAGCGAGACUGCCCGGGUUAACCGGGAGGAAGGUGGGGAUGACGUCAAAUCAUCAUGCCCCUUAUGUCUAGGGCUACACACGUGCUACAAUGGUGAGGACAAAGAGACGCAAGACCGCGAGGUGGAGCAAAUCUCACAAACCUCAUCCCAGUUCGGAUUGCAGGCUGAAACUCGCCUGCAUGAAGCCGGAGUUGCUAGUAAUCGCGAAUCAGCAUGUCGCGGUGAAUACGUUCCCGGGCCUU